AGUGAACGCUGGCGGUAGGCCUAACACAUGCAAGUCGAACGGCAGCACAGUAAGCGCUUGCUCUUCCGGGUGGCGACUGGCGGGCGAUUGAUGAGUACAUCGGAAUCUACUUUUUCGAGGGGGACGACGUCGGGAUACAUACGCCAUUCCAGCAUACGAUGUAAGCGGGAGAGCAGAGGACCUUGGGCCAUUGCGCGAUUGGAUGAGCCGAUGUCGGAUUAGCUAGUUGGAGGGGUAAAGGCCCACCAAGGCGACGAUCCGUAGCUGGUCUGAGAGGAUGAUCAGCCACACUGGAACUGAGACACGGUCCAGACUCCUACGGGAGGCAGCAGUGGGGAAUUUUGGACAAUGGGCGCAAGCCUGAUCCAGCCAUACCGCGUGGGUGAAGAAGGCCUUCGGGUUGUAAAGCCCUUUUGUUGGGAAAGAAAAGCAGUAGGUUAAUACCCCGCUGUUCUGACGGUACCCGAAGAAUAAGCACCGGCUAACUUCGUG
rnacentral:rRNA from 1 species